AACGCAAAUCGCGCUCGAGGCCUCGGCCGAGAGCAUGCCUGCCUCAGCGUCGUUCCAACCCCUCUCCCCCUUCACUCGAAAGGGGAGGAACUGGUCGUUUCGAUUGCGCCCGCGAUCGAAUCGGCCGAAAUUCAGAAGGGCCCCUCGUUCACGAAGGGCGAUCGAAAGGUGGAUGCCUGCGGGCGGACCCGAUCGGCGCUCGAACUUGGUAGCGGUCUCUAUAGUCGGAGAACACGAUCGAGUUUUGACCUGAGUUCAGGCAAGGGCACCCGCUGAACUUAA
rnacentral:misc_RNA from 1 species